GACGAACGCUGGCGGCGUGCUUAACACAUGCAAGUCGAACGGAAAGGCCCUGCUUUUGUGGGGUGCUCGAGUGGCGAACGGGUGAGUAACACGUGAGUAACCUGCCCUUGACUUUGGGAUAACUUCAGGAAACUGGGGCUAAUACCGGAUAGGAGCUCCUGCUGCAUGGUGGGGGUUGGAAAGUUUCGGCGGUUGGGGAUGGACUCGCGGCUUAUCAGCUGGUUGGUGGGGUAGUGGCUUACCAAGGCUUUGACGGGUAGCCGGCCUGAGAGGGUGACCGGCCACAUUGGGACUGAGAUACGGCGCAGACUCCUACGGGAGGCAGCAGUGGGGAAUAUUGCACAAUGGGCGGAAGCCUGAUGCAGCAACGCCGCGUGCGGGAUAACGGCCUUCGGGUUGUAAACCGCUUUCGCCUGUGACGAAGCGUGAGUGACGGUAAUGGGUAAAGAAGCACCGGCUAACUACGUG
rnacentral:rRNA from 1 species